UACAGAGGGGGCAAGCGUUGUUCGGAAUUACUGGGCGUAAAGGGUUCGUAGGUGGCCUACUAAGUCAUACGUGAAAUCCCUCAGCUUAACUGGGGAACUGCGUCUGAGACUGGAAGGCUUGAGUGCAGGAGAGGAACGCGGAAUUCCAGGUGUAGCGGUGAAAUGCGUAGAUAUCUGGAGGAACACCGGUGGCGAAGGCGGCGUUCUGGACUGCAACUGACACUGAGGAACGAAAGCCAGGGGAGCAAACGGG
rnacentral:rRNA from 1 species